GUUGAGAUGUCUGAAAUUUAAGGAAAUAAACUGUAAAUUUAUUUAUGGGAUUAUACCCUCUCAAUA